rnacentral:rRNA from 1 species
UACGGAGGGUGCAAGCGUUAUCCGGAUUCACUGGGUUUAAAGGGUGCGUAGGAGGGCAGGUAAGUCAGUGGUGAAAUCUCCAAGCUUAACUUGGAAACUGCCGUUGAUACUAUCUGUCUUGAAUAUUGUGGAGGUAAGCGGAAUAUGUCAUGUAGCGGUGAAAUGCUUAGAUAUGACAUAGAACACCUAUUGCGAAGGCAGCUUACUACGCAUAUAUUGACGCUGAGGCACGAAAGCGUGGGGAGCAAACAGG